UGCAGUAGACGCUGAAGACUUUAGCUUGCUAGAGUUGGAAGAGUUGCGAACGGGUGAGUAACGCGUAGGUAACCUGCCUAUUAGUGGGGGAUAACUAUUGGAAACGAUAGCUAAUACCGCAUAAUAGUGUUUAACACAUGUUAGAGACUUAAAAGAUGCAAUUGCAUCACUAGUAGAUGGACCUGCGUUGUAUUAGCUAGUUGGUGGGGUAACGGCCUACCAAGGCGACGAUACAUAGCCGACCUGAGAGGGUGAUCGGCCACACUGGGACUGAGACACGGCCCAGACUCCUACGGGAGGCAGCAGUAGGGAAUCUUCGGCAAUGGGGGCAACCCUGACCGAGCAACGCCGCGUGAGUGAAGAAGGUUUUCGGAUCGUAAAGCUCUGUUGUAAGAGAAGAACGUGUGUGAGAGUGGAAAGUUCACACAGUGACGGUAACUUACCAGAAAGGGACGGCUAACUACGUGCCAGCAGCCGCGGUAAUACGUAGGUCCCGAGCGUUGUCCGGAUUUAUUGGGCGUAAAGCGAGCGCAGGCGGUUUAAUAAGUCUGAAGUUAAAGGCAGUGGCUUAACCAUUGUUCGCUUUGGAAACUGUUAAACUU
rnacentral:rRNA from 1 species